CUGGGUUCCUGUGUCCUUAUGUAUUAGAGACCCAGGAACUAUGGGUGGUAAAUGUCCUUAUUGCUCUUGAGUUGUCUUCUCAUCUUGGCCCUUUUAGUAGACAGAGCUAGGAAAUAUGCAGGCUGUACACACACACAUGCAUAGUCAUGUUCACAGAAACAUGCAUAUACAUAUUUUAGAAAUCAUGAGUUUAUAUCAGUAUUCCCAACUUUAUGUCUAGUGUUUUUUCUUAGGGUUUGUAUUUCAUAUUUUAAAUGUCUUAUGCUGUGAGAAUUCUGGCCUUCAACAUUAUUAAUACAUUUACACAUCAACUCUAUAAUUUAAGAUAAUUUUAGAAUUGCUUUGUUUAUUUUACUACAAUAAACUUUUUGUGGUACACUUUGGGUAGUACAUUCUAGGCAAGAAAUCUAUCACUGAGCUACACCCUAGUCCUAAUAAACUCAUUUAAAAUGAGUGGAAGAUUUGUUUGCAAAUCCCUCUACCCUCAAAUUUUGCUCAUGACAAGAGUGAAUCAUUAAAAUUUUGUUCUUAAAUUACUUGGAUUGAGGGCUAUGAGUGUAUCUUAGUGAUUGAGUGCUUGCCUAGUAUGUACAAGUUUCUGGGUCAGUCCCCAGUACCACUUCAAACAAAACACACCCCCAAAACUUGGAUUGACCAUGUAUCCCUCCUUAUCCCUCCUUCUUUUCUUCCAUGUUCUCCUUCCCAUCCUUACUUUCUACAUAAUCUAACUAUGGUCUAUAUAUGAAUUGAAAUUAGGUUAAUUUAUUUGUUGCUUGAGUUUCAAAGUUUUUUGUGCCCUUUUUUAUUU
rnacentral:lncRNA from 1 species